rnacentral:rRNA from 1 species
AAUCCAUAGGUUAAUGAGGCGAACCGGGGGAACUGAAACAUCUAAGUACCCCGAGGAAAAGAAAUCAACCGAGAUUCCCCCAGUAGCGGCGAGCGAACGGGGAGGAGCCCAGAGCCUGAAUCAGCAUGUGUGUUAGUGGAAGCGUCUGGAAAGGCGCGCGAUACAGGGUGACAGCCCCGUACACAAAAGCGCAUGUGCUGUGAGCUCGAUGAGUAGGGCGGGACACGUGGUAUCCUGUCUGAAUAUGGGGGGACCAUCCUCCAAGGCUAAAUACUCCUGACUGACCGAUAGUGAACCAGUACCGUGAGGGAAAGGCGAAAAGAACCCCGGCGAGGGGAGUGAAAAAGAACCUGAAACCGUGUACGUACAAGCAGUGGGAGCCCCACCACCAAAGCAUUUGCUGUACCGCGUUGACGGAGCGAAGCGACGUCAAACCGAUAAAACAGCAGUGUAAAGUGAGCCGCAGGGCGCUUUGCGCGACAGCGCAAAGGCAGGCGGUUUCGCGUAGCGAAAGCGAAUGCUUUGGGGUGGGGUGACUGCGUACCUUUUGUAUAAUGGGUCAGCGACUUAUAUUCUGUAGCAAGGUUAACCGAAUAGGGGAGCCGGAGGGAAACCGAGUCUUAAUUGGGCGUUAAGUUGCAGGGUAUAGACCCGAAACCCGGUGAUCUAGCCAUGGGCAGGUUGAAGGUUGGGUAACACUAACUGGAGGACCGAACCGACUAAUGUUGAAAAAUUAGCGGAUGACCUGUGGCUGGGGGUGAAAGGCCAAUCAAACCGGGAGAUAGCUGGUUCUCCCCGAAAGCUAUUUAGGUAGCGCCUCGUGAAUUCAUCUCCGGGGGUAGAGCACUGUUUCGGCUAGGGGGCCAUCCCGGCUUACCAACCCGAUGCAAACUGCGAAUACCGGAGAAUGUUAUCACGGGAGACACACGGCGGGUGCUAACGUCCGUCGUGAAGAGGGAAACAACCCAGACCGCCAGCUAAGGUCCCAAAGUCAUGGUUAAGUGGGAAACGAUGUGGGAAGGCCCAGACAGCCAGGAUGUUGGCUUAGAAGCAGCCAUCAUUUAAAGAAAGCGUAAUAGCUCACUGGUCGAGUCGGCCUGCGCGGAAGAUGUAACGGGGCUAAACCAUGCACCGAAGCUGCGGCAG